rnacentral:tRNA from 1 species
CGCCAUGUGGAUGGCGACACCGUACAGGUUGACGAUCUGAAAGCUAUCGUUGGCUGGUUGCAGACCGGCCAUGCCGA